UACGAAGGGGGCUAGCGUUGCUCGGAAUCACUGGGCGUAAAGCGCACGUAGGCGGUUUCUUAAGUCAGGGGUGAAAUCCUGGAGCUCAACUCCAGAACUGCCUUUGAUACUGAGGAUCUUGAGUUCGGGAGAGGUGAGUGGAACUGCGAGUGUAGAGGUGAAAUUCGUAGAUAUUCGCAAGAACACCAGUGGCGAAGGCGGCUCACUGGCCCGAUACUGACGCUGAGGCACGAAAGCGUGGGGAGCAAACAGG
rnacentral:rRNA from 1 species